UUGACACGUUCCCCUAACAGCCUAGGAGCGUAAUAAAGACAGAGCAUCUUGUCUUGUGUGUGCAGACCAGCUAGCGGAGCCCUCAGACACAGGCAGACAUCCUGGUGGAGGAGGAAGACGACGGGAGAGCGAUGGAGGUGAUAGAGGUGAAGCACCACCCAGAGGUUCUCCUUCCCGAGGACCAGCCUAGCGACCAGCAGAAGAAACCUCGGAGGAAAGACACGCCGGUCCUCAGCACUCCGCCGCUCAUACCAGGUGUGAGGUUGAUGAAGGGAGAGAAGAGGAUGAUUCAUUUGGAAAUGGAAGAGAAAGAUGGAAAGAAGUAGAAGCGUUUUGAGUUGGAGGGAUUAUAGUCCUGUGUGUCGUUGACAAUGUUGUUUGUAAGUUGUCUUUAGAUAUUCUUCUGUUCAUGUGUAUUAAAUAUUGCUCGGUGAAUACAAAAUCUGAGUUUUUUGGUAUAUUUCUUUUAUUAGGCUUAAAUAAUAAUAAUAAUACAUGAGGUAAAAACACAUUUUAUGUUAUGUUUACAUAUUAUGUAGGCAACUGCUGUUUGGAUGUACUGCAGACAGAGAUAUGCUAACUAAUUGGCCUAAUACCAGACUGUACAUGCUCUACACACAAUAAAAACAUACACAUUUCUGCAUGAAAAUAAAUGACCCCAUACAUUUUUGAAGUUACAG